AACGAACGCUGGCGGCAGGCCUAACACAUGCAAGUCGAACGAGACCUUCGGGUCUAGUGGCGCACGGGUGCGUAACGCGUGGGAAUCUACCCUUGGGUUCGGAAUAACUCAGAGAAAUUUGAGCUAAUACCGGAUGAUGUCGCAAGACCAAAGAUUUAUCGCCCAAGGAUGAGCCCGCGUAGGAUUAGCUUGUUGGUGAGGUAAAAGCUCACCAAGGCGACGAUCCUUAGCUGGUCUGAGAGGAUGAUCAGCCACACUGGAACUGAGAUACGGACCAGACUCCUACGGGAGGCAGCAGUGGGGAAUAUUGGACAAUGGGGGCAACCCUGAUCCAGCAAUGCCGCGUGAGUGAUGAAGGCCUUAGGGUUGUAAAGCUCUUUUACCCGAGAUGAUAAUGACAGUAUCGGGAGAAUAAGCUCCGGCUAACUCCGUGCCAGCAGCCG
rnacentral:rRNA from 1 species